rnacentral:rRNA from 1 species
UACGGAGGAUGCGAGCGUUAUCCGGAUUUAUUGGGUUUAAAGGGUGCGCAGGCGGAUUUUUAAGUCAGCGGUCAAAUCGUGGGGCUCAACCCCAUCCAGCCGUUGAAACUGGGGAUCUAGAGUGUGCGAGAGGUAUGCGGAAUGCGUGGUGUAGCGGUGAAAUGCGUAGAUAUAUGGAAGAACACCAGUGGCGAAAGCGGCUCUCUGGUCUGUAACUGACGCUGAGGUUCGAAAGCGUGGGUAGCAAACAGG